CUGCUGUGAUGGGAAUAUUUUUCGUCAACAGCAUUUCACAGAGUGAAUGUUGAGAUGUGUGGGCUGAGCAG
rnacentral:snoRNA from 1 species